rnacentral:rRNA from 1 species
AGUCUGGUGCCAGCAGCCGCGGUAAUUCCAGCUCCAAUAGCAUAUAUUAAAGUUGUUGCAGUUAAAAAGCUCGUAGUUGGAUUUUGAUGUUACAUAUGAUAACCCGCCUGUAUAGGUGUGUUGUUGUUAUAUGUUCAUCUCCUUACUAGACUUUCAUGAAUAUCAU